GCAGCUGUAGCGAAGUGGCCAAACGCGGGGGACUUAAAAUCCUUUGCCCUAGCGGCUUCGGAGGUUCGAAUCCUCCCAGCUGCA
rnacentral:tRNA from 1 species